CCUCAGUAGCUUAAUCCUCAAAGCAUUGGUCUUGUAAACCAAAGAAUGAAGAAUAAACCCUUCCUGAAGCU
rnacentral:tRNA from 1 species